AAUUUCCUCACAGCUACUCAGAAAGCGUCAGUUGUCAAAUAAGAAUAGACAAAUAGGUAUUAUUGGGCUUCCGUUACGGGAGACGUAUGCGUCUCGUUAAAAAAAAAGAAGGAUGCCAGUUCAGUAUAUGAACCUGAAGCAGUUGUGAUCUGCGAUGGAGGCCGAUGUUUCGAAAGAGCUUGCAUGCCCAUCGAACGACACAUGAGGGCAGCAUUCAACAACAUAAACAAGCGACUGUACGGCGCUGUCUUCCGAGUGGCCGAAACUGUACCUGUUGUUACCUUUGCCACUUUCUUAUUACUGUGUGUUUUUGGUCCAACGUAAUAACACCAAAAUGGAUGAGAAGCAGGGACCAACUUCUGAUGAUGUCCCAACUGGGGAGGUAACGUCAUCCACAGUUACAGAGGGUGAUGUUGUCAAGAUGCCAACAGAUGUGGCCAUCACUAUGGAUGCUAUUCCCAAUGAAGAUGAGGAGGACAAAUCCAAAGGUCUUGACCCACAAGAUAACCAUUGCCCCAGC